rnacentral:rRNA from 1 species
AACUGGGAUUAGAUACCCCACUAUGCUUAGCCCUAAACUCAAAUAUUCAAAACAACAAGAAUAUUCGCCAGAGAACUACUGGCAACUGCUUAAAACUCAAAGGACUUGGCGGUGCUUUAUACCCCUCUAGAGGAGCCUGUUCUAUAAUCGAUAACCCCCGAUCCACCUCACCACCCCUAGCAAAUCAGCCUAUAUACCGCCAUCUUCAGCAAACCCUGACAAGGUCACACAGUAAGCACAAUCAUUUGCAUAAAAACGUUAGGUCAAGGUGUAGCUUAUGGGGUGGGAAGAAAUGGGUUACAUUUCCUAGUCACAGAACAGUUAACGAUAGUCAUUAUGAAACUAAAGAGCUUAAGGCGGAUUUAGCUGGUAAAUUAAGAAUAGAG